UAUAACGUCGUUGACUUUUUGUCCAACGUUUGACCAUUCGUCUUACUAAAAAAAUUUAUGUAAUUAUCAUUUAUUUUAUUGUGAUUUGAUUCAUCAUUAAAUAUUCUUUAAACAUGGCAUAAAUAUUUUCAUAUUUACACAAAAAUUUUAAAUAAAACGAAUGGUCAAACGUUGGUCGAAAAGUCAACGACG
rnacentral:pre_miRNA from 1 species